CUCUGGCUUUCCAAUACCAGCAGUUUCAGGUGGAGCACGUUCGUAAAGCUUUGUUUCAUCAAACUGGCCAUGCAUGGAUAAUGGAAUAUAUUUAGAAUCGACAUAUCCCGACACUUGAGCCGGUUUACAAAAAGUCACCUUGGAUCGGACUUCAGGAUCCAAGAAAUACUUACCAAUACUCCAAACACCUUCAAAAAGAGCCAUGCGGAAACCGGAACCAACAAUUAAAGCUUGACCAAGAAUUUCGGGAUAGUAAUU